rnacentral:rRNA from 1 species
UACGAAGGGGGCUAGCGUUGCUCGGAAUCACUGGGCGUAAAGGGUGCGUAGGCGGGUAUUUAAGUCAGGGGUGAAAUCCUGGAGCUCAACUCCAGAACUGCCUUUGAUACUGAGGAUCUUGAGUUCGGGAGAGGUGAGUGGAACUGCGAGUGUAGAGGUGAAAUUCGUAGAUAUUCGCAAGAACACCAGUGGCGAAGGCGUCUCACUGGCCCGAUACUGACGCUGAGGCACGAAAGCGUGGGGAGCAAACAGG